AGUGAACGCUGGCGGUAGGCCUAUCACAUGCAAGUCGAACGGCAGCACAGUAAGAGCUUGCUCUUACGGGUGGCGAGUGGCGGACGGGUGAGGAAUACAUCGGAAUCUACUUUUUCGUGGGGGAUAACGUAGGGAAACUUACGCUAAUACCGCAUACGACCUACGGGUGAAAGCAGGGGAUCUUCGGACCUUGCGCGAUUGAAUGAGCCGAUGUCGGAUUAGCUAGUUGGCGGGGUAAAGGCCCACCAAGGCGACGAUCCGUAGCUGGUCUGAGAGGAUGAUCAGCCACACUGGAACUGAGACACGGUCCAGACUCCUACGGGAGGCAGCAGUGGGGAAUAUUGGACAAUGGGCGCAAGCCUGAUCCAGCCAUACCGCGUGGGUGAAGAAGGCCUUCGGGUUGUAAAGCCCUUUUGUUGGGAAAGAAAAGCAGCAGGUUAAUACCCCGCUGUUCUGACGGUACCCAAAGAAUAAGCACCGGCUAACUUCGUG
rnacentral:rRNA from 1 species